AAGCAGUGGGAGCCCCACCACCAAAGCAUUCUCUGGUGUUGAAGGCCCUGCAAAGCAGCAUCGCGGUGGCGGAGCGUCGUUUGCGACGCCCAACACACAAAACAAGCGGUGAGUGCUUUGGGGUGGGGUGACUGCGUACCUUUUGUAUAAUGGGUCAGCGACUUAUAUUCUGUAGCAAGGUUAACCGAAUAGGGGAGCCGGAGGGAAACCGAGUCUUAAUUGGGCGUUAAGUUGCAGGGUAUAGACCCGAAACCCGGUGAUCUAGCCAUGGGCAGGUUGAAGGUUGGGUAACACUAACUGGAGGACCGAACCGACUAAUGUUGAAAAAUUAGCGGAUGACCUGUGGCUGGGGGUGAAAGGCCAAUCAAACCGGGAGAUAGCUGGUUCUCCCCGAAAGCUAUUUAGGUAGCGCCUCGUGAAUUCAUCUCCGGGGGUAGAGCACUGUUUCGGCUAGGGGGCCAUCCCGGCUUACCAACCCGAUGCAAACUGCGAAUACCGGAGAAUGUUAUCACGGGAGACACACGGCGGGUGCUAACGUCCGUCGUGAAGAGGGAAACAACCCAGACCGCCAGCUAAGGUCCCAAAGUCAUGGUUAAGUGGGAAACGAUGUGGGAAGGCCCAGACAGCCAGGAUGUUGGCUUAGAAGCAGCCAUCAUUUAAAGAAAGCGUAAUAGCUCACUGGUCGAGUCGGCCUGCGCGGAAGAUGUAACGGGGCUAAACCAU
rnacentral:rRNA from 1 species